GUAGGUGGCAAGCGUUGUCCGGAAUUAUUGGGCGUAAAGCGCGCGCAGGCGGGUCCUUUAAGUCUGAUGUGAAAGCCCACGGGCUCAACCGUGGAGGGUCAUUGGAAACUGGGGGACUUGAGUACAGAAGAGGAAAGCGGAAUUCCAAGUGUAGCGGUGAAAUGCGUAGAGAUUUGGAGGAACACCAGUGGCGAAGGCGGCUUUCUGGUCUGUAACUGACGCUGAGGCGCGAAAGCGUGGGGAGCAAACAGGAUUAGAUACCCUGGUAGUCCACGCCGUAAACGAUGAGUGCUAAGUGUUAGGGGGUUUCCGCCCCUUAGUGCUGCAGCUAACGCAUUAAGCACUCCGCCUGGGAGUACGGCCGCAAAGGCUG
rnacentral:rRNA from 1 species